UCUCGCCUUUAUAUUGGCCCAAGUGGGAUUAUCUAGUUGGGGAGGUAAUGGCUCACCAAGGCGACAAUCCCUAUCUGGUUUGAGAGGAUGAUCACCCACACUGGGACUGAGACACGGCCCACACUCCUACGGGAGGCAGCAGUGGGGAAUAUUGCACAAUGGGCGCAAGCCUGAUGCACCCAUGCCGCGUGUGUGAGAAAGGCCUUCGGGUUGUAAAGCACUUUCAGUCAGGAGGAAAGGUUAGUAUUUAAUACCUGCUAUCUGUGACGUUACUGACAGAAGAAGCACCGGCUAACUCCGUGCCAGCAGCCGCGGUAAUACGGAGGGUGCGAGCGUUAAUCGGAAUUACUGGGCGUAAAGCGUACGCAGGCGGUUUGUUAAGCGAGAUGUGAAAGCCCCGGGCUCAACCUGGGAACUGCAUUUCUAACUGGCAAACUAUAGUGUGAUAGAGGGUGGUAUAAUUUCAGGUGUAGCGGUGAAAUGCGUAUAGAUCUGAAAGAAUACCGAUGGCGAAAGCGGCCACCUGGGUCAACACUGACGCUCAUGUACGAAAGCGUGGGGAGCAAACAGGAUUAGAUACCCUGGUAGUCCACGCCGUAAACGAUGUCUACUAGAAGCUCGGAACCUCGGUUCUGUUUUUCAAAGCUAACGCAUUAAGUAGACCGCCUGGGGG
rnacentral:rRNA from 1 species